rnacentral:siRNA from 1 species
AGGACUCUGAUACUGAAUGGAGUG